AACGAACGCUGGCGGCGCGUCUUAAGCAUGCAAGUCGAACGGCAUGAGGAAGCUUGCUUCCUCAGAGAGUGGCGGACUGGUGAGUAACACGUGGAUAAUCUACCUGCAACACCGGGAUAACGCUGUGAAAACGGUGCUAAUACCGGAUACGUUCCCUUGUGCGCAUGUAUGAGGGAAGAAAGCUCAGGCGGUUGCAGAUGAGUCCGCGGCUGAUUAGCUAGUUGGUGAGGUAAAGGCUCACCAAGGCGACGAUGGGUAGCCGGCCUGAGAGGGUGAACGGCCACACUGGGACUGAGACACGGCCCAGACUCCUACGGGAGGCAGCAGUAGGGAAUCUUCCGCAAUGGGCGCAAGCCUGACGGAGCGACGCCGCGUGAGUGAUGAAGGCCUUCGGUCGUAAGCUCUGUUCUUGAGGACGAAUAAGCCAGGGAGUGGAAAGCCCUGGUGAUGACUGUACUCAAGGAGAAAGCUCCGGCUAA
rnacentral:rRNA from 1 species